rnacentral:rRNA from 1 species
CAGUCGCCGCGGUAAUACGAAGGGUGCAAGCGUUAAUCGGAAUUACUGGGCGUAAAGCGUGCGUAGGCGGUGAGUUAAGUCUGCUGUGAAAUCCCCGGGCUCAACCUGGGAAUGGCAGUGGAUACUGGCUCGCUAGAGUGUGUCAGAGGAUGGUGGAAUUCCCGGUGUAGCGGUGAAAUGCGUAGAGAUCGGGAGGAACAUCAGUGGCGAAGGCGGCCAUCUGGGACAACACUGACGCUGAGGCACGAAAGCGUGGGAGCAAACAGGAUUAGAUACCCCAGUAGUCCCUGUCUCUUAUACA